UAGGGAAUCUUCGGCAAUGGACGAAAGUCUGACCGAGCAACGCCGCGAGAGUGAAGAAGGUUUUCGGAUCGUAAAACUCUGUUGUCAGAGAAGAACAAGGACGUUAGUAACUGAACGUCCCCUGACGGUAUCUAACCAGAAAGCCACGGCUAACUACGUGCCAGCAGCCGCGGUAAUACGUAGGUGGCAAGCGUUGUCCGGAUUUAUUGGGCGUAAAGCGAGCGCAGGCGGUUUCUUAAGUCUGAUGUGAAAGCCCCCGGCUCAACCGGGGAGGGUCAUUGGAAACUGGGAGACUUGAGUGCAGAAGAGGAGAGGGGAAUUCCAUGUGUAGCGGUGAAAUGCGUAGAUAUAUGGAGGAACACCCGUGGCGAAGGCGGCUCUCUGGUCUGUAACUGACGCUGAGGCUCGAAAGCGUGGGGAGCAAACAGG
rnacentral:rRNA from 1 species